CCAGGGCCACGCUGCGGCCCACAUGCGAGGGUCACGCCGAAAGCUCUCCUCAGAGCCAGAGGAACAGCAAGGCAGCAGCAAGGAGCCCACCCUUGGAGCUGCUGAAGUCUGGGUUCUUCUCAGCGCGGGAAGAGGAAGUGGCAUUUGAAGCACUGAGAUGUGAGAAGAGUUUCAUUAUUGCUCUGGAUGGCCCCUUCAUUAGAGGAAAACACAGUAUUUAAUGAAGGGGAAGAAAACUGGAGCUCCCUGCUGCGUCCAGAAAGCCGUC
rnacentral:lncRNA from 12 species